GACGAACGCUGGCGGCGUGCCUACUACAUGCAAGUAGAACGCAGUUGCGAACGGGUGAGUAACGCGUAGGUAACUGCCUGGUAGCGGGGGAUAACUAUUAGAAACGAUAGCUAAUACAGCAUACUACCAGAUGGACCUGCGUUGUAUUAGCUCGUUGGUGAGGUAACGGCUCACCAAGGCAACGAUACAUAGCCGACCUGAGGUGGUGUUCGGCCACACUGGGACUGAGACACGGCCCAUGCUCUUGCGGGAGGCAGCAGUAUGGAAUCUUCUGACAUGGGGUGAACCCUGACCGAACAACGCCGCGGGAGGGAAGAAGGUUUUCGGAGCGUAAAGCUCUGUUGUUAAGGAAGCGGUACUUAAACAGAAAGGGACGGCUAACUCCGUGCCAGCAGCCGCGGUAAUAC
rnacentral:rRNA from 1 species